rnacentral:rRNA from 1 species
AGAUUGAACGCUGGCGGCAGGCCUAACACAUGCAAGUCGAGCGGCAGCACGGGUACUUGUACCUGGUGGCGAGCGGCGGACGGGUGAGUAAUGCCUAGGAAUCUGCCUGGUAGUGGGGGAUAACGUUCGGAAACGGACGCUAAUACCGCAUACGUCCUACGGGAGAAAGCGGGGGACCUUCGGGCCUCGCGCCAUUAGAUGAGCCUAGGUCGGAUUAGCUAGUUGGUGAGGUAAUGGCUCACCAAGGCGACGAUCCGUAACUGGUCUGAGAGGAUGAUCAGUCACACUGGAACUGAGACACGGUCCAGACUCCUACGGGAGCAGCAGUGGGGAAUAUUGGACAAU